GAUGAACGCUGGCGGCGUGCCUAAUACAUGCAAGUCGAGCGAACAGACGAGGAGCUUGCUCCUCUGACGUUAGCGGCGGACGGGUGAGUAACACGUGGAUAACCUACCUAUAAGACUGGGAUAACUUCGGGAAACCGGAGCUAAUACCGGAUAAUAUAUUGAACCGCAUGGUUCAAUAGUGAAAGACGGUUUUGCUGUCACUUAUAGAUGGAUCCGCGCCGCAUUAGCUAGUUGGUAAGGUAACGGCUUACCAAGGCAACGAUGCAUAGCCGACCUGAGAGGGUGAUCGGCCACACUGGAACUGAGACACGGUCCAGACUCCUACGGGAGGCAGCAGUAGGGAAUCUUCCGCAAAGGGCGAAAGCUUGACGGAGCAACGCCGCGUGAGUGAUGAAGGUCUUCGGAUCGUAAAACUCUGUUAUUAGGGAAGAACAAAUGUGUAAGUAACUGUGCACGUCUUGACGGUACCUAAUCAGAAAGCCACGGCUAACUACGUG
rnacentral:rRNA from 1 species